rnacentral:rRNA from 1 species
GCCAGCAGCCAUAUCGUCUUGCUACUCACAAAUGACAACCUAGUGAAGCUCAGCAGGUGUGAGCCUGGUCAGUACCUGGAUGGGAGACCUCCUGGGAAAAACCAAGGUUGCUGCUAAAG